GACGAACGCUGGCGGCGUGCUUAACACAUGCAAGUCGAACGAUGAAGCCUAGCUUGCUAGGUGGAUUAGUGGCGAACGGGUGAGUAAUACGUGAGUAACCUACCUUUAACUCUGGGAUAAGCCUGGGAAACUGGGUCUAAUACCGGAUACGACCAAUCUCCGCAUGGGGUGUUGGUGGAAAGCGUUAUGUAGUGGUUAUAGAUGGGCUCACGGCCUAUCAGCUUGUCGGUGAGGUAACGGCUCACCAAGGCGACGACGGGUAGCCGGCCUGAGAGGGUGACCGGCCACACUGGGACUGAGACACGGCCCAGACUCCUACGGGAGGCAGCAUGGGGAAUAUUGCACAAUGGGCGCAAGCCUGAUGCAGCGACGCCGCGUGAGGGAUGACGGCCUUCGGGUUGUAAACCUCUGUUAGCAGGGAAGAAGAGAGAUUGACG
rnacentral:rRNA from 1 species